rnacentral:rRNA from 1 species
GAGUUUGAUCCUGGCUCAGGACGAACGCUGGCGGCGUGCUUAACACAUGCAAGUCGAACGGGAAACCUUUUAUUGAAACUUCGGCGGAUUUGAUUGGUUUCUAGUGGCGGACGGGUGAGUAACGCGUGGGUAACCUGCCUUGUACAGGGGGAUAACAGUCAGAAAUGACUGCUAAUACCGCAUAAGCGCACAGAACUGCAUGGCUCAGUGUGAAAAACUCCGGUGGUAUAAGAUGGACCCGCGUCGGAUUAGCUAGUUGGCGAGGUAACGGCCCACCAAGGCGACGAUUGGUAGCCGGACUGAGAGGUUGAACGGCCACAUUGGGACUGAGACACGGCCCAGACUCCUACGGGAGGCAGCAGUGGGGAAUAUUGCACAAUGGGGGAAACCCUGAUGCAGCGACGCCGCGUGGAGGAAGAAGGUUUUCGGAUUGUAAACUCCUGUCGUUAGGGACGAUAAUGACGGUACCUAACAAGAAAGCACCGGCUAACUACGUGCCAGCCGCCGCGGUAAUUC